UACGAAGGGGACUAGCGUUGUUCGGAAUCACUGGGCGUAAAGCGCACGUAGGCGGAUGUGUCAGUCAGGGGUGAAAUCCCGGGGCUCAACCUCGGAACUGCCUUUGAUACAGCACGUCUCGAGUCCGGAAGAGGUGGGUGGAAUUCCUAGUGUAGAGGUGAAAUUCGUAGAUAUUAGGAAGAACACCGGUGGCGAAGGCGGCCCACUGGUCCGGUAUUGACGCUGAGGUGCGAAAGCGUGGGGAGCAAACAGG
rnacentral:rRNA from 1 species